UACAGAGGUGGCAAGCGUUGUUCGGAAUUACUGGGCGUAAAGGGCGCGUAGGCGGCCUUCUAAGUCAGACGUGAAAUCCCCCGGCUUAACCUGGGAACUGCGUCUGAUACUGGGAGGCUAGAGUGCGGGAGAGGGAUGCGGAAUUCCAGGUGUAGCGGUGAAAUGCGUAGAUAUCGGAAGGAACAUCAGUGGCGAAAGCGACUUCCUGGACCAGUACCGACGUUCAGGCACGAAAGCGUGGGGAGCAAACAGG
rnacentral:rRNA from 1 species